AUGGGUAUCAGUAUCAGCACCAGCCUGCGUAUCAGCAUUAGCGCUCUGCACCCUCGAGCUGGGAGAAAGACCCCACGCAGCACGUCACAACUGGUGGCAACAUGUGUGGCUUCUCUUGUGUCUACUGAAUUUGAGAGUCACCUGGGGGCUGUCACGGUGGACAGAUGCCACACGGGAGACAGAGAAGCCGCAUCCCAUGUCCCAUGGCUGCCCUUAUUGGAAGUUCCACCUGUUGUGACCCCUGCCUCUGUCCAAUCAUCUCUUCUGUUCUCUUUGACUCCUUCCCAGAAGACGCUCCUGCAGGGCCCUCCAAGCUCUGGGGACCUGACUUUAUCAGCCUCUCCAGGGAGGACACCUGUUUUCUUCCCCUGUUCCCCGCAGCCCUGCGCGGGUCCUGGUGACGGCUCUAACUUCCAGGCCGGGUUCGCCUGCAAGGUCUUGGGGGUGCCCCUCCCCCUCCCCAGAAUGGCAUCACGAGGCCCGGGCCUCCAUGCAGACCUGUCCUGUGCCGUCUCAGCCGCCCAAGCACCCCCUGCCAGCGGUGGGGCACAUCCAUCCCAGGAGGCCGGGACCUCGGGGAGAGCCCCCCCACGCUCCAUUUCUGUCCUCCCCGCGGGCUCUGUGGGUGGAAUGCGCCGCUUCCCACGUGCUGCCCUUGUCGUUGACAUUCUGAUGCAGUCUGUAAUCAACGCAAGCUUCAGCUCCUCUCAUUACUGGCUCUUGAAGGGAUUCUUCAGACUCAGCAAGAACAGCCGCCUCGUCAGAGGACAGCAUCUGCUCCCCCCGACCCCGCCCGCCGCCCGCGACAGACAGGGGGGUGCGCAUUUGCAUUCGGGUGCUCAGCCCGGGAAGGUGCCCGGGAGGUGCGGCCUGCUCUGCCGCUCCUGUCCGGGCUCCGUGGACUCUUCCCCUCACCUGAACCACAGGUGGCUCCUGUCCUGGUUCUGGGUCACGGAGCUGCAGGGUUCUCAUGGGGACACUGGGCACUACGGUCCCCACUCCACCUUUACAACAUGGAAUCUGACCAGAGAAUGGGACUGGGGGCAGGAGUGUGUCCUCAUAGAUUUACGUAAUUUAAACCCCACAUGUUCCCAAAAAGGACCUAUCGCAAUGCAAUUACAACCCACGUAUCAUGAUUAA
rnacentral:lncRNA from 1 species